CCUACGGGUGGCAGCAGUCGAGAAUCAUUCACAAUGGGGGAAACCCUGAUGGUGCGACGCCGCGUGGGGGAAUGAAGGUCUUCGGAUUGUAAACCUCUGUCAUGUGGGAGCAAAUUAAAAAGAUAGUACCACAAGAGGAAGAGACGGCUAACUCUGUGCCAGCAGCCGCGGUACUACAGAGGUGUCAAGCGUUGUUCGGAAGCCCUGGGCUUAAAGCGUGCGUAGGCUGGUUCGUAAGGCGUGUGUGAAAGGCGCGGGCUCAACCCGAGGACGGCACAUGAUACUGCGAGACUAGAGUAAAGGAGGGGGAACCGGAAUUCGCGGUGUAGCAGUGAAAUGCGUAGAUAUCGAGAGGAACACUCGUGGCGAAGGCAGGUUCCUGGACAUUAACUGACGCUGAGGCACGAAGGCCAGGGGAGCGAAAGGGAUUAGAUACCCGAGUAGUC
rnacentral:rRNA from 1 species